CCACUGGCACUGAAGCGACGGGAUGCGCCGUACCCCGGGGCGCCGCUCCCCUCCCCUCCCCUUCCCGAGCAUGGUACGAUCCUCGCUCAAGAAGCGGCUACCCCCUCGCUCCGUCUGAAGGGCUGACUCUAUUUCCUAGUCGGAAAGUAUCGCCGCGCGGCCCAAGUCCCGACGCCCCCCGUCUGCCGAGCCCCCGAGAGAGGACCCGAAAGAGCGCAAAGCUGGACCCGUACACGAUGACCAUGUACAAGGGGAAGCGUCGCAAUCAUCGCUACAUAAACAUGGCAGGCGAGCCCAAGCCAUACAGGCCCAAAGCAGGCUCCAAACGGCCGCUCUCAGCCGUUUACAGUGGUUAUGAAUUUGAUUACGAGUACUACAGGGACGACUUCUACAGCAGGCUUUUUGACUACCAUGGCAGAGUGGCCCCCCCGCCCAGAGCCGUGAUCCCCCUCAAACGCUCCAGGGUGCUCGCUCCCUCCUCCCGCCGCGGGAAGACCUCCUUCCCCAUCAAAACAUCUUCCUCUUCCUCCUCUUCAUCCUCCAGACCUCCCACAUCAUCCUCCUCCUCCGGGCUUAAACCAGUGAAGACGGACCAGCUCCAGACUAUUAAACGGGAGCUGACUCAGAUCAAGAUGAAGAUCGACUCUUUGCUGGGACGCUUGGAGAAGAUUGAGAAGCAGCAGAGAGCCGAGUCCGAGGCUCAGAGAAAGUACGAGGACAACUGCGACUCCCUGCAUGAGGAGUCUGUGUCAGAGACGGCAGAAAACUCUGGGGAGGAGGCCGGCGAGGGGGCGCUUGACGUGGAGGCGGGAGAGAUGACCGAUGGAGGUGAGGACGACUACGACGAGGAGGGCAGCCACCAUCUGAUAGAGAGCCAUGUAUCAGAUAUUGACAACUGAAAUCAGGGUGAGGAAGCGAACGCCUCUGCUCGGUGGUAUUAGAAUUCAUCAUCACCUUCAAGAGACAAAAUUAUGAGGGAUCAAGACCCCCAUUCUGGACUGCCAGGGACGUCAUCAGCCCAAUUGAUGCUACUGGGAAAUCAGCUAGCACACCUGGUAUAUAUAUAUAAGCUGUGCCCCUUCCUCCUCCUGAGCAAUGUUUUAAAGUAUAAUGGCCUCUGUUGUUAUUUGGAGUGAUUUUACUCUUACUGAAUAUCAGGAGUCCUUGACUUCCAUAAAAGUUGAAUUGUGAUUCAGUGCUGCUGGUAGUUUAAUGGGUUGUUUCACAGAAAUUGCUUUUUUUUUUUAAAAACAAAAAAAAACAAUUUCCCGCUUAACCCUGAGUGGUGUCUACUCAAGCAGAUACUUGUGGUUUUACUUACCACAGAUUUUGAGGUAUCUGCCCAUGAGGCUUGUUGCCGCCCCAGUGCAGUCAAGGUAAAAGAAAUUUCUCCGGUGGUGCUUAUAACGUUUAAAAAGGCAUUUGAAACUUUUAACAGCAUUGUUUCUUCUCAGAAACUGCGUUAAUUGUUUUUGGAUAAUCCAAACAUGCAUCUAUAGACAUUUUUUCACUGUAUUAUUUGACCUUGAGUAGUAGAAAAUGGUUCCCAUGAAAACUGCAUUAGUAACCCAGAUAAUGAGUUUGCAGUGACGUAAUCUUUCAGUGCUCUUAACACCACAAACACUCCUUGUAUUAUUUGCACGACAGCUGGAAAAAUAAAAACCAUAUCACCGGGGGGGUAAGUCAGAAGACGUUUCAAAUCUUUUAAACGGGAUUUCCUUAAAAUGUGAAAGAAAAGUCGCCUCGCACAAUUCCACGAACACACCGGUCCACCCUGGCAGUGCUGCCUGAAAAAAUACAUACAAUAGCAUUAAAAUAGCGACCGUCCUGCAGCUCAUUCAAAAUAAGUGUCUGGUGAAUGAUGAUAAUGUGUAAUAUUUAGCACUAUUUUUGUAUCCAAAAAACAAGUUUAAGGGAAAUGGCUCUGCUACAUGUUUAUCUCUUUUUGCUGGUAGCCUGUUAUUUAAUGAACAGUAUGGUGAUGUGUCGAAUAUUUUGCAAAAAUAU